UUUGUUACAAAAAUCAUUCCAUAGUCUUUCAAAAAUAAUAUGAUGUAUUCAGUCCAGACAGUUAAACUGUAGGUCUUAAUAGUUUUCAUUGACUUUUUUCAACAGUAUGGCUGGGUGUAAUAAACUAUACCAAUCCGAGCCAAUUAUUGGACAUGAUUUUUUGGUUUACAUAAAUAAUAUAACAUAAAUUGAAUAUAUUGGAUCAUGUUAAACACCCUUCAUCUACAUGAAGCGUCAUCUAUAUUUGAUAUGUCACUACCAUUAUCUUCUAUCUUAUCAUCGAAACUAAUGCCAAUAAUAUCAAAUGAUGGGACAUUUGAAAUGUAGUCAUCAUUACAUAAACUGUCUUCGUAAGGGAUCAAGUAGGCAAACAAGUCAUCAACUUCCUCGUUCAAUAAUGGAGAUGAUGGGAAUGAAACCUCGUUCAAGUUCGGGAAAUGAACCGGUGAAAGGAUUUCUGACUACUAGAUUGAUCUACAACAUUAUCAUCUGAAUCAAUUACGAUGUUGAACAAAUUGGUAUUCAAGAAGGGAUAUGGUAAUACUCUACAAAUUUGUAUGUAAAUUGUUCUUUUAGAUGAAGUGUAGAAAUAUGUUAGAAGUUGGAGGCUCACGAUGAAAGACUAAACCUCAAAAUUGUUUCAAUGUAUUAUAGUACACAACUAUUUGCAAUUAUUGUGUUCCAUUUAUCAACUUUUUUUUUUUGGGGUCAAUUUCAUUAAUCAUACAUUCAUUUGGUGUGACCUUUUUAUCUACAUAUUUCAAUAAUUCGUUUUCUUUAAUUGAUAUCACAUUUCAAUAUGGCAUUAGUGGUAGUAUUGUUGAUCAUCUAACUUAUUUACAAACGUUUCCGUACAAAUGAUAUCUCGACUGUACAACCUGCUCAUAAUAAAAAUGUCUUUUCACCUAUGAAUAUGAACUAAAUGAACAUAAAACUAAGUUGUUCGACGUACACAUUAUGAUAUGAUUUCAAAAAUAAUACAACAAAUUAUAAGUCCAAAAGUAAUGCAUAAUUAACGAAAUUCUAUUACGUACUAUUCUUCCCUCUUUUCCGGCUACUCCUAAUGUAGGGAGUUCGAAAUCCAUCUACAACUCAAUUAACAUUAAAAAUUUCAAUUUUAGAGAAUGAUUUAACAUGCAAUGAAUUCAUACAACACAUAUUAAAGCAACUCAAACACAUUUUCAUUUUAUUGUGACUUUCAAGUAAUUCAUUCAAAUUGACGAGAAAUUCAGUAACCAUCUGUCGAGAAUAUUGAUAGAUUUUCUCGACAAAUGUUCCAUCUAUACUUUAAAGAAACUCUUCAGAUGCGAACAUGAAUCGAAUGUUUCGAUCCACAAUGACCAUAUAAUGAACUACAUUGCAAUAAAUUGAAUCAAUCAUAGAAUAGAUCUCAUUAUCAUUGAAUGAACCAAUGAAUGAAUCACAUUACUUAAGCUAUGAAUCAACAAAUUAAAACAAUAUAUCAAUCUAUAAAUUCAACUUACAUUGCUAAACCUAUAAUGGUCAUGUAUAUUCUAAUAAACUACAAUGGACAUUCAUAUUCUAAUAAACCAUAAAAUCAACCUACAUUCGAAGCACACCCUCAUAAAGUUUCAAUGAAAUCCUUUACAUUAACUCAAUAUAUGAGAAAAUAAACCACAAUUGACAUGUAUAAUCAUGCUACAUAUUCAGGCUCAAAUUCAGAUGGGCACGAAAUAUUAACUUGUUUAAACCACCAUUUAGGGUAUAUCUGAUUAUAAAUAUGAAAUUUAUAUGGAAAGAAAAUAAAUUUUAAGCAAUUAAAUUUCUUAGAACUUAGUUGUAUGAAAAUUGUCAAUUAAAUGUGUUUAAUUGAGUUAAUUUUCAACAUAAAAAAUGUUAUAUUUGUCCAUUUUUAUUGGUGGGUAGAUGAGAGAGAAAGAUAGAAUUACUUGAAAAUUAAAAACUUAUUCUCCUAUAGAAAAUAUUUUCCUUGUUUUUCAAGGAAAUUGUGAUUAUGUAAUUAAAAGUAGGAAAAUAUUUUUCAUGUAAAAAAUAUCAACAAAAUAGUACAAAAGUAAAAAUUUGGUGAAAAAUGACAUUUUUAAUUAAAAACAUUAGCAAUCAAACGCACCCUUAUUGGAAGGGUGUGUUAGGAAAAACAUAAAUAAAAUUUAUAUUUUAAAACAUGUGCAAAGUAUUGAUUUUUCACUUAAAAAAAUCAAUUUUUUGAUCGUUAUAUCACUAUUCAAAUUAUCAUUUUUUACUUCUUCUCUCACAGAUAAGACCUAAUUUUCUUUUCAACGAUCAAAAGAUCAAUUCUCAAAAUCAGUAUCAGACAAACCCUAUAUAAUAGAUGUGAAAAUGAAAGUACGAAAGGAGUAUUAUUAGCCCUCGUUUGGCCCCCCAUUAUUGGAGAUUAUAGUUAUUGGAAUAAUGUUUUUUAAAAAAAUGGGUUAAAAAAAAAAACAUUUUGAAUUUAUAUGUAAUAUCAUUUUAUUGGAGAAUGUGUGGUUGAUAAGAAAAGAAGGAAAAAUGAAUUAUAAUUUUAAUGGAAUCAAACAGUGAUAAUAAAACGGGAGUUUCAGGCUUUGGGAAAAUUGAAGCAGUGAUCUCUAACCUUUUCAAUUUUUGCAGAUUUUACCUUAACCUUCAAUUUGAACUAGCGAAAGUCUCAAACUUUUCAUAAAUAUGCACCUGAAGUCCAACUGAAUGGAAAUCAUCUAGAUGACCAAGAAAAGUGAACUUGAACCAAAUUAAAAUGGGUAAAAUAGUAACUUUGCUUAUUUUCAAAUAUUGACAAUUAAAAUAAUAAGACUAAAAACAAAAAAUAAAAUGAAAUAAAAUAAAAUAAAUCUACCCCCAUCCCACUCUCAAAUUCAAAACAUACCCAGAAAAAGGGAGGAAAUGAAAAUCCGCCCCCGAUCAGAAGUAGCUAAUUCGGCGUAAUAAAAUAGCAUUUAGCAACUUUUUAGCAAAACUCCAGAAAAAAUUUUCCUUUCGAAAUCAAAUCGAUGUCCAAAGCUUAGAAAAUCAGAGUAAAGACAAAUCAAUAAUUUAAGCUUGGUCGAAUUAAAUUAAGUUAAAAACUGAAACACGUUAAAUUCAUCUUAUUACCUUGCCGGCUACAAAUUGGAGUGUAUUUGUAGGAAGGUGCAAGAUCUCACAAAAAUAAAGCUAUGACUAAAUUCCUAAAAAAUGAAGCUGUGGUAGCAAGAGGAGAUCAAAAGUUGAAAAUCAAAAUUGAUAAAGAAAAAAAUCGAAAGAAAUUGAUGCUCAAACUCUGAAUUCUUUGUGCCAACUUAAGUCAAGUUUGGAUUUAACAUUUUCACAGUAAUUAAUUGGACAUAUCUUUCAGUAAGAAUUUUUAUUUUUCUUUUUCUUUUGGGAAUUUUCUUUUGUUUCUUUCAUUUUAAAGGAGUGUGAAUAUGGCUUUACAAUGAUUCAUUUGGGAAUGGGUUUUAAAGAUUUGAAAGGUAAUUUUGAAGAUGGUAGAUGGUUUACGUGUGUUGAGUAUGAAGAGAAAAUGAAAUGCCACUUGGAUAAAACAGGUCAGCAACCCCACCUCAAGCCAUGUCAACAGCAAAACAUUCUAGAAGAUGAGAGACCCAGCAAGUUGCAUAAGGAAUAUACUGUGGAUACCGGUUGAAGAAGAGUGUAGAAGAAAAUUCUAUUAGGCUACAUGUAUAACAUUUAUUCUGUUAUAUAUACUGUAAUUGCAAGCAUUUGAGAAUACAAUAAUCAUUUUCUUCUCCAUUUACGUGCUGCAAUUGCCUCAUUAUUCUUCUUCAUUCAUAUCUUCAUUUUGUAAUAUGGUAUCAGAGCCAUAACAAUGGCUGAAAAUCACAGCACAGAUACCCAAUCUGCCACGCAUGAAGACCUCAAUCCAAAUUCCCAAUCUACUGCACAUCAAAAACUCAAUCCAAAUCCUCAACAAUACCAGAACACGUACUCCACACCAAAUCCUGAUGACCCUGCUCAUCCCCACAGUCCAUACUAUAUAAGUGGAAGUGAUAGCUCUGGGACAAUAUUGGUCACUCAUGUACUUGAUAACACCAACUACUAUGCAUGGGCAAGAUCUAUGAAGAGGGCCCUCAGAAUUAAAAACAAACUUGGGUUCAUUGAUGGAAGCCUAACACAGCCAGACCCUACUAGCUUUCUGAUAGAACACUGGCUCCGCUGCAAUGAUCUUGUGAUAGCCUGGCUACAAAACACCAUGUCUAUUGAAGUAAAAUCCUGAACUCUUUAUGCAAAAACCGCUAGAGAGCUAUGGCUGGAACUAGAACAUCGAUUGGCUCAACAAAAUGCCCCACGAAUUUAUGAGGUAAAACAAGCCAUCAGCAACUUAAUGCAAAACCAAGAUGCUGUGAGCGUUUACUUUUCGAAAUACAAAACUCUCCUUGAUGAAUUAUGAAUCCAUGCCUAAUUGCACUUGUGGAGGACUUCGCACUGUUGUUGAUAAUCAGAAAAGGGAUUGGGUCAUGAGAUUUCUUAUGGACCUGAACGAAUCUUAUAAGGAUAUUAAAGCUCAAAUUCUUCUAAUCAAACCUUUGCCUGAUCUCAAUGAAGUAUAUUCUAUUAUACAACAAGAAGAAAAGAGAAGGCAGAUUUCAAUGGACUCUCCAACCAAUGACUCCAUGGCAAUGAUGACUCGUGGAAUUCGAAAUGGAAAUCAGCACUCAACUAAUCGAAAUGCUAAGUAUUUUUACACUCAUUUUUAAAUUGCAGGGCACUCACUGGAAAGAUGCCACAAGGCUAAUCCUAAGAUACCAAUGUGUUCCCACUGUAACUUUCCUGGUCAUAGAAUAGACAAAUGCUUCAAAAUCCAUGGAUACCCCCAAGGACACAAACUCUACAACAAAGUUAAACCCCCCAAUCAUUCUGUAAAUCAGGUGACCAGGAGUGCUCAUUCUCCCAUUACGCAAGAGCAAUACACUCAGCUCAUAGCACUUCUCAACAAGCAGAGUGUUUCACCAUCAACUCAUUUGGCAAGCCAAGUUUGUUCAAUCAUUACUCCUUGCACUACUGAGGAUCAAAUGCCUAAUGUUUCUGGUAUAUCUUUAUGUCUCUCUGCGUUUGCAUCAAAAUCCAAGACACGAGCUAUAAUACCUUGGAUCAUAGACACAGGUGCCACAGAUCAUAUGAUCUGUGACAUUUCCUUCUUCACUAACAUUGUGGCACAGGUUUCCCACUCAGUCACACUCCCUAAUGGGAAUGGUGUUACUGUCACUCAUAUAGGCACAGUACAAAUUUCAGAAAAGUUAAUCCUGCAUGAUGUACUUUGUGUCCCAUCCUUCUCUUUUAAUUUGAUUUCAGCUAGAAAACUAGCAACCAAUUUGAAUUGCUGUCUUAUUUUUCUGUCUCACUUUUGCUUUAUACAGGACCUUUUAACCUGGAAAACGAUUGGGAUGGGUAAGGUGCGGCAUGGUCUGUACCAUCUCCAACAACAGGAAACUUCACCAUCAGCAUUCUUUGACAUUGUAAGCAACACCAAAACCAUCACAGCAGCUGUCACACACAAUGAAGAGUUCGAUCUAUGGCACUACAGAUUAGGACAUCCUUCAUUCAACAUUCUUAAAUCCUUAAAUAGCAAUCAGAUCUCCACAAAUAACAGCAAGCCUUGUAUGAUCUGUCCUUUAGCCAAAAUGCACAAACCCCCUUUUCCUACUAGUCAAUAUCAGUCAGCAAAAUAUUUUGAUUUAGUUCAUUGUGAUCUUUGGGGACCGUGUAAUGAAGUAGCAUAUGAUGGCUCAAAAUAUUUUUUAACAAUAGUAGAAGACUACAGUAAAUGCACUUGGAUAUGUACCUUGAAAUGCAAAUCUGAUGUUGGUGUUACUUUGCAAAGGUUCUGUAAAAUGAUUGAAAAUCAGUUUGAAGCCAAAAUCAAGACAAUUAGAAGUGACAAUGGAGGGGAAUUUAACAUGAAAGAAUUCUAUCUUGAAAAAGGAAUUGUGCAUCAAAAAUCGUGUGUUGAAACUCCACAACAAAACUCUGUAGUGGAGAGGAAGCAUCAACAUAUUCUCAAUGUGGCAAGGGCCUUAAGGUUUCAAAGUGAAAUUCCCAUGAAAUAUUGGAAUGACUAUGUACUCACUGCCGUAUACCUCAUAAACAGGACUCCCUCACCCCUCCCAAAACACAAAACACCUUUUAAAAUUCUCCUCAACAAGAAAGCAAACUAUUCCCACCUUAAAGUUGUUGGAUGCCUGGCAUUUGCCACUACCCUCACUCACAAUAGACACAAAUUUGAUCCAAAAGCCAAACAAUGUAUUUUCUUGGGGUAUCCAUUUGGAAUGAAAGGUUAUAAGCUGCUGGAUUUAGGAGCUAACAAGAUCUUUAUUUCUAGAAAUGUCACAUCCUAUGAAAACAUUUUCCCUUGCAAGGCUAUAGAUCAGUCAAAAACUAAUGCAUUACUUGAUCCAUCAAACUUGCCCUUUAUCCAAACACCAGCCAUAAACCAUUAUCAUGUGGUUGAACCUCAAGAUUUAGAACUUCUACAAUCUUACAACAAAAGCAAUGGGCCACUAAAUGAUCUACCAUCAAACAUCAUCACAUCACCAACAAAAAAUUCCAGUUUUACAAUCUUCCCAGAUAACUCAAGUUCAGAAAAUCCUUUAAACGAAUCUGAAAAUAUCACCUCACCAUCCAUAAAUACAAGUCCUCACCUACCUAGAAGAUCUACCAGAACCAGAAAAUUUCCGCCAUACUUGCAAAAUUUCGUAUGCCAGCAGGCCAGCUCAUCUAUCCUAUUCCAAGAGUUUGAAGGGCAAAAGGUUCAACCAGCUCCAGGUAAUCCUUUCCCACUUGAAGCAACUAUUUCCUAUCAUAAAUUUUCACAUGCACACAAAGCUUUCACCACAUCUAUCACUUCCCACAUAGAGCCAAACAGUUACAGUGACGCAUUAAAGUCCCCAGAAUGGUGCAAGGUAAUGCAAAAUGAGAUUGAUGCACUGGAGCAAAAUAACACAUGGAUUAUCACUGAUUUACCAGAUGGGAAAUCAGCCAUAGGUGUAAAUGGGUUUUCAAAAUCAAAUAUAAUUCAGAUGGGUCUAUUGAAAGACAUAAGGCACGACUAGUCGUCAAAGGAUACACACAACAGGAAGGACUAGACUUCCAUGAGACCUUUUCCCCAGUUGCAAAAAUGGUUACUGUCAGAACUUUACUAGCCGUGGCAGCCAUCAAAGGAUGGUCCCCAUGCCAAUUUGACGUAAAUAACGCAUUCCUACAUGGAGAUCUUAAUGAAGAGGUGUACAUGGAAUUGCCACCAGGCUAUUCGAAGGCAUCUCAGCCUAGGGUCUGCAAAUUGCGUUCUAUAUGGCCUAAAACAGGCCUCACGGCAAUGGUACUCAAAAUUGUCAACCUUCAUCAUAGGUCUUGGAUUUGUCCAGUCAAAAGCAGAUUAUAGCCUAUUCACCAAGUCUCAAGGGAACUUAUUCACUGCCAUUUUAGUAUAUGUGGAUGACAUCAUUGUGGCCAGCAAUGAUAUGCAAUCAGUCAACUCCCUGAAAUUGUUGCUGGAUGAAAACUUCAAAAUCAAAGAUCUGGGAACGUUGAAGUAUUUCCUUGGCAUUGAGAUAGCAAGAAGAAAAGAAGGAAUCAUGCUUCGUCACAGGAAGUAUGCCCUAGACAUAUUGAGAGAUUCAGGCACAAUUGGAGCCACGCCAGCAAAAAUUCCUUUGGACCAGAAUAUGAAGCUAUUCAAAAACCAAGGUGAAUUGCUCAAAAAUCCAUCCAUAAACAGAAGGCUAAUCGGAAGACUUCUCUACUUAACCGUAACCAGACCUGACAUAUCUUAUGCUGUCCAACUCUUAAGCCAAUACAUGGAUGAACCCAAAAUUCCACAUAUUAAUGCAACACACAAUGUACUUCGUUAUAUUAAGAGAAGUCCAGGUCAAGGUCUAUUCUAUCCAGCCUCAUCAAUGCUGCAACUUCAAGCAUACAUUGACUCUGAUUGGGGAUCAUGUCCUGACACAGAAGAUCCAUUACAGGCUAUUGUGUUUUCUUAGGAUCUUCCUUAAUCUCCUGGAAAUCAAAGAAACAGCAAACAGUUUCUAGAUCCUCAGCAGAGGAUGAAUAUAGGGCCAUGGCAAGCACUUGUUGUGAGCUAACAUGGUUACAAUUCUUACUCAAAGAUUUGACAGUAUGCCACCCACAAGCAGCACCUUUGUAUUGUGAUAGUAAGUCAGCAAUCCAUAAUGCUGGAAAUCCCGUUUUUCACGAAAGAACUAAACACAUAGAGCUUGAUUGUCAUUUGUACGAGACAAAGUUCAAGAAGGAAGUAUAGUGACUGAACAUGUAAAGACCAGUGCUCAAGUUGCUAAUAUUCUUACCAAGGCAUUAAGUUCACCUAGUUUUUAUUCUCAUCUGGCCAAGAUGGGAGCAGAAGAUAUCUACUCUCCAUCUUGCGGGGGGAUGUUGAAGUAUGAAGAGAAAAUGAAAUGCCACUUGGAUAAAACAGGUCAGCAACCCCACCUCAAGCCAUGUCAACGGCAAAACAUUCUAGAAGAUGAGAGACCCAGCAAGUUGCAUAAGGAAUAUACUAUGGAUACCGGUUGAAGAAGAGUGUAGAAGAAAAUUCUGUUAGGCAACAUGUAUAACAUUUAUUCUAUUUUUUUAUUCUGUUAUAUAUACUGUAAUUGCAAGCAUUUGAGAAUACAAUGAUCAUUUUCUUCUUCUCCAUUUACGUGCUGCAAU
rnacentral:lncRNA from 1 species